rnacentral:rRNA from 1 species
UACGGGGGGGGCAAGCGUUGUUCGGAAUUACUGGGCGUAAAGGGCUCGUAGGUGGCCAACUAAGUCAUACGUGAAAUCCCUCAGCUUAACUGGGGAACUGCGUCUGAUACUGGAUGGCUUGAGUUUGGGAGAGGGAUGCGGAAUUCCAGGUGUAGCGGUGAAAUGCGUAGAUAUCAGGAGGAACACCAAUGGCGAAGGCAGCUCGCUGGGACGGUACUGACGCUGAGGCGCGAAAGCGUGGGGAGCAAACAGG